rnacentral:rRNA from 1 species
UACAGAGGGGGCAAGCGUUGUCCGGAAUUAUUGGGCGUAAAGAGCUCGUAGGCGGUUUGUCGCGUCUGCUGUGAAAACCCGAGGCUCAACCUCGGGCCUGCAGUGGGUACGGGCAGACUAGAGUGCGGUAGGGGAGAUUGGAAUUCCUGGUGUAGCGGUGGAAUGCGCAGAUAUCAGGAGGAACACCGGUGGCGAAGGCGGGUCUCUGGGCCGAUACUGACGCUGAGGAGCGAAAGCGUGGGGAGCGAACAGG